GUGUGUCAUGUUCCUGUCUAAUGCAGUCCUGGGUGUGUGUCUGUCAAGUCUGUGUUCCAGGUCACAUACCCCAACACUCUGGUCCACGUCUUUCAGUUCACCUCCCAACCAGACACACCUGUUACCCAUCCAUCAUUACCUGCACAGUUUAUCUACCCUGGCUUCCCAUAGACUCAUCGCCAGUUCAACGUUGUUAACCUGACGACAUCAUCGACCACCUCGUACCAAUACCGAGGCUCCCUCCUCACUCCUUCCUGUCUGGCAUCCAUGGACCUCACCUUCAUCCUUACCCUCUGUGUCUGCAAUAAACCUGGUUCAUAUCGCAUCAGUGUCUGAGUCUUGCAUUUGGGUUCACCUGUCAUUCCCCAGGUAGGCAGGAUCAUAACAUUACCCUUGUACUGACCUCUUGAUGAAGACUUUGUUGUCCAUGUCAACCCUUCCUGCACCCCAGCAUGCGUCCAGGAGGUACCAGUGCCCCCCCAGCAGCACAGCGUUCCACAUGUGGCUCGACUUGCUGUUCUGCAUAAACAAAGGGAAUGUUUGAAGGAACUGGCUGGAGAGAAGCAGGAAGACACUGGAGUAUCCACAGCACACACCCCUGCCCAUCUCAACGACCCUCUCUGGUUCGCACAGCUUGUCCGUCAGGCCCAGAUCCAGAUGGUUCUCACUUUCUCCAGCUCGCUCGGUGCUCCUUCUGUGAUGGCCCGGGUGAUCAUCCGAAUGGAGAAAAUGCCUUGACUACGCAGCUGCAAUGAUAAAAAUAAAUAUAU